GGGCGUGUGAGUGGUGUUUGGAUUGUCUCUGCCGGCUGGCUCCGUGCUCGUCCACCGAACGGUCGGCAGGCAAUCCGCGUCGGUUGUUGCAAGGUGGGAUGGUGCCUCAGAGGCUGGUUCUUGUGCCGCCUACCCCUUCAAGGGAAGCGGGCCACUUGACGGCUAGCCUCCAUCCGGCGCCUUCGAACGGGCGCAGGAGGACAACGAAGCACCCCCUGUGUUCCACCGAGCCUCCAACGGCCGAGUGGCCCACGGGGGCGUGCAAUGCUCUCGGACCCAGCGCACCCCGUGGACGAGGACUCUCACGUCCCGGCCCUAAGAGGAAUAAUGUACGACGGCCGCUCUCUCGCCCCUUUGCCCGCCCCGGCGGUGCGGGGGCGCGAAGGGCGACGUCGAGGAGGAUUGCUACCUGGUUGAUCCUGCCAGUAGUCAUAUGCUUGUCU
rnacentral:misc_RNA from 1 species